rnacentral:rRNA from 1 species
UACGUAGGGUGCGAGCGUUGUCCGGAAUUUUUGGGCGUAAAGAGCUUGUAGGCGGUUUGUCGCGUCUGCUGUGAAAAUCCGGGGCUCAACCCCGGACUUGCAGUGGGUACGGGCAGACUAGAGUGUGGUAGGGGAGACUGGAAUUCCUGGUGUAGCGGUGAAAUGCGCAGAUAUCAGGAGGAACACCGAUGGCGAAGGCAGGUCUCUGGGCCACUACUGACGCUGAGAAGCGAAAGCAUGGGGAGCGAACAGG